rnacentral:lncRNA from 1 species
CAAAAAUAUUGUGUCUUCUUAGAAAAUACAGCUGUAAAUAUGAUAAAACACAUAAUUCCUAUAUUAACAUUAAAAUUCUCACAAAUGAAUAACAUAUCUAAACCAAUAUAUAUUGUUAUCUGCUACUUUAAAAUCCAAGACAGAGGAAGACAUCCGAGCCGUCUUAAAAGCUUUUUAAAGAAAUGACUUUCUUAAUUUAACUGCAAAGAACUCUAUCAUACUGUAAGUUCUUGAUAAGACAAGAUUCACACUAAACACAAAGUGUUUAUUUGUAUUUACAAAUAGUGAAAAGCUUUAUCUUUGUUUCUUUUGAACAUUAAAGUAUAGAAAAGAUAUCGGGCAUCCAUUUCCCGUAGUCACCAUAUAUGGCUUUUCUUAUUUUGGACAUAUUGGUUUAUCUUGACAUAUUGUAUCUCAUAUAUAUUUUACCGGAAACAAAUCCAUAAAUGGUUUAUCAGCUUAUAAAAAAGUAAAAGAAUGGAAAUGUGAAGAUGACAAGUUGACAAUAAUAUACCAAUUUUGAUAUUAUAGUUACAGCGAUUUGUUCUGUAUAAUAUGGUCGAUCGGGUAUAGUCACUAGUGGUUAAGCUGUUUAAGGAGAAUUUGCCGUUUUGAACUCACAAUGAUUUCAAGGAAUCUUAUAUUCUCUAUUGUCGUUAUAUUAUUUUUGUGAGCUCAUAAAUGAA